rnacentral:rRNA from 1 species
GACGAACGCUGGCGGCGUGCCUAAUACAUGCAAGUAGAACGCUGAAGGAGGAGCUUGCUUCUCUGGAUGAGUUGCGAACGGGUGAGUAACGCGUAGGUAACCUGCCUGGUAGCGGGGGAUAACUAUUGGAAACGAUAGCUAAUACCGCAUAAUAGUAGAUGUUGCAUGACAUUUGCUUAAAAGGUGCAAUUGCAUCACUACCAGAUGGACCUGCGUUGUAUUAGCUAGUUGGUGGGGUAACGGCUCACCAAGGCGACGAUACAUAGCCGACCUGAGAGGGUGAUGGGCCACACUGGGACUGAGACACGGCCCAGACCCCUACGGGAGGCAGCAGUGGGGAAUCUUCGGCAAGGGACGGAAGUCUGACCGAGAAACGCCGGGGGAGUGAAGAAGGUUUUCGGAUCGUAAAGCUCUUUUGUAAGAGAAGAACGGGGGGGGGAGGGGAAAGUUCCACCUGUGACGGUAUUUUACCAAAAAGGGACGGCUAACUACGU